GACGAACGCUGGCGGCGUGCCUAAUACAUGCAAGUCGAACGCAGUGGGGACGGGUGAGUCACACGUGGGUAACCUCCCAUCAGAGGGGAUAACAAUUGGAAACAGGUGCUAAACCGAUACUGAUGGAUGAACCACCGGUGCAUUAGCGAGUUGGUGGGGUAACGGCUACACAAGGCCACGAGGCAUAGCCGACCGGGGAGGGUGAUGGGCCACACUGGGACUGAGACACGGCCCAGACUCCUACGGGAGGCAGCAGUAGGGAAUCUUCGGCAAUGGACGAAAGUCUGACCGAGCAACGCCGCGUGAGUGAAGAAGGUUUUCGGAUCGUAAAACUCUGUUGUUAGAGAAGCGGUAUCUAACCAGAAAGCCACGGCUAACUACGUGCCAGCAGCCGCGGUAAUAC
rnacentral:rRNA from 1 species